rnacentral:rRNA from 1 species
UACGAAGGGGGCUAGCGUUGCUCGGAAUUACUGGGCGUAAAGGGCGCGUAGGCGGUUUGUACAGUCAGAUGUGAAAUUCCCGGGCUCAACCUGGGGGCUGCAUUUGAUACGUAUGGACUGGAGUGGGGAAGAGGGUCGUGGAAUUCCCAGUGUAGAGGUGAAAUUCGUAGAUAUUGGGAAGAACACCGGUGGCGAAGGCGGCGACCUGGUCCUUGACUGACGCUGAGGCGCGAAAGCGUGGGGAGCAAACAGG